CUAAAGUGAGGAAUGGUUGCUGGGAGUAUUCCAGCAGGGAACCUCUAGGUAUCAGGUGGGAACUGAGGAAGAUUGUAGAGGAGUAAGUAGGCUCCAAAGGGAGCCUUGAGUUUUCAGGGAAAAGACUCCAGGCAAAGAAAGCCUGGGAGACCCCAGUGGGAAAGAUGGGUUGUAUGGAAUUUGAUAAAUGUUUUGUUAUCUUAAUAACCCCACCCCUAAGGAGGGGUGUUUCUGAAUUAGAAGAGUUUGAGUAUUUUGACUGGGAAAGAGCCCUGAAAGUGGGGAAACUGAGGCAGCGUGCUGCAGUGUGACCAUAUGCCAUGAGUGAGUACAAAAGCAGGUGACUAGCUUUUUCACAGCCUGAAACAAUACCCCUGUGAACUGAUCCGUUCAUCUCAAUGAAGGAGUCCUCCCAUUACCACCUCUGCAGAAGUGUACAGUGGGAAAAGAAUGCUUCAGGCCCAACCCACCCAAGCAGAUAUAUUCUGGUUUCAGGGACUCUACGCAAAACUUCUUGAAAAUAUUCUGCAAUUAAUUUAAGGAGAAAAUGAACAAGUGGCUGAGACUUAGUAUGAGAUGAUGACUGAUGAUGAAAUUUGCUCACCGUAACUAAAAGCAGUGUGCCGCAUAGCAGCUAUUCAACUGCAUCAGGAAACUUAAGAGUAUUUAUGUGAGCAGGCAUGGACUCGUCCCACGAAGUUGCUCAGUUUGACUUUAGUUUCCUCACUAUGUCUCAACCUUUCAGUCCUCCAAAUGGUGUUCUAUGGACCUGGUCCAGCCACGAAGAAGGGUUCUUUGUAACAUACGCAGGACAUGAAAAGAGCUUUGGCAUAUUUGCCAGCGUGAUGUGAGAACUCCUGGGAACAUUUGCUGCUUCCAUGAGCCCCCUCAAAAGCCCUGGGAUUGUGUGGUGAGGGUGAGGGGGCUAUAGGAUAUUUAAACAGCUGUGUAGUGCUUGAUGUAAAUAUUCUUCUCUUUGACUCUUGCUUCAGCAUGAUGGAUUUCCUGACACUGCCAUCUCUGGUAUAUAGCGUAAGUGUAAUUUUCUUAGAUGACUCAAAAUACUGAGGAUUUUAUUAAGGAUACUGUGACCCUAAGAAGACGCCAAUGCCACCUGGCACACUGUUGUCAUGAUAUUUAUCCAAAGGCUGGCACGUAAUGUAUUACCGGAAAACUCAUAACUCACUGAGCAUUAAUAUUAUUGUGUGGUAUAAAUAUGGGUAACAUGCAAAAUUGCAAAUGUGCUGAAAUUCUGUUCUUAAAAUGUGUGUCACCCUAGACAGAGAAAUGUGAUUCUGCUUGAGUGUGUCUCCAAGGUAAAUCAAGAGAUAUUGGAAAUGUAUUUACAUAAAAGCUAAAUAAAGUCAUCAAGCUAACAAGGGGAGAAGAACAACCAACUAUCACCAGCAGGGGGAAGAACCAGCAUGAAGUCCUCACCGUACCACGCCAUCUCUUCCCAGCAGGAGAAAAGGAACCCUGACUGAGAAUACGUUUCAAAGGUUUACUAGCCUAUAAAGAGAGGGGGAGUGAACCUCCAGGUUAUUCUAUACAUUGAGAGAAAGGAACCGAGCACUUAGAGAUCUGUGAAGGUUUCUGGCCAGGGAGUCUGGUCAGCCCUGCUGGAAGAAACUUGGUGAGAAACACUUUUUUGAACAAGAGGGAGUCUAAUUUGUUAAAUCAGGUGUUAGUCUUAGAAGCAUAUUUUUAUUUUUGUUUGCAUGUAACCCUUUCUAUUUUUAUUCCUUAUACUUGGCAUCACU